rnacentral:rRNA from 1 species
UACGGAGGAUCCGAGCGUUAUCCGGAUUUAUUGGGUUUAAAGGGUGCGCAGGCGGGAGAUUAAGUCGGCGGUGAAAUUUUGCAGCUCAACUGUAAAAGUGCCUUCGAUACUGGUUUCCUUGAGUGUGGAUGAGGUAGGCGGAAUUUGUGGUGUAGCGGUGAAAUGCUUAGAUAUCACGAGGAACUCCGAUUGCGCAGGCAGCUUACUAAACCACUACUGACGCUCAGGCACGAAGGCGUGGGGAUCAAACAGGAUUAGAUACCCCCGUAGU